GACGAACGCUGGCGGCGUGCUUAACACAUGCAAGUCGAACGGAAAGGCCCUGCUUUUGUGGGGUGCUCGAGUGGCGAACGGGUGAGUAACACGUGAGUAACCUGCCCUUGACGUUGGGAUAACUUCAGGAAACUGGGGCUAAUACCGGAUAGGAGCUCCUGCUGCAUGGUGGGGGUUGGAAAGUUUCGGCGGUUGGGGAUGGACUCGCGGCUUAUCAGCUUGUUGGUGGGGUAGUGGCUUACCAAGGCUUUGACGGGUAGCCGGCCUGAGAGGGUGACCGGCCACAUUGGGACUGAGAUACGGCCCAGACUCCUACGGGAGGCAGCAGGGGGGAAUAUUGCACAAUGGGCCGAAGCCUGAUGCAGCAACGCCGCGUGCGGGAUGACGGCCUUCGGGUUGUAAACCGCUUUCGCCUGUGACGAAGCGUGAGUGACGGUAAUGGGUAAAGAAGCACCGGCUAACUACGUG
rnacentral:rRNA from 1 species